rnacentral:rRNA from 1 species
GCCCCGGUAAACGGCGGCCGUAACUAUAACGGUCCUAAGGUAGCGAAAUUCCUUGUCGGGUAAGUUCCGACCUGCACGAAUGGCGUAAUGAUGGCCAGGCUGUCUCCACCCGAGACUCAGUGAAAUUGAACUCGCUGUGAAGAUGCAGUGUACCCGCGGCAAGACGGAAAGACCCCGUGAACCUUUACUAUAGCUUGACACUGAACAUUGAGCCUUGAUGUGUAGGAUAGGUGGGAGGCUUUGAAGUGUGGACGCCAGUCUGCAUGGAGCCGGCCUUGAAAUACCACCCUUUAAUGUUUGAUGUUCUAACGUGGACCCGUGAUCCGGGUUGCGGACAGUGUCUGGUGGGUAGUUUGACUGGGGCGGUCUCCUCCUAAAGAGUAACGGAGGAGCACGAAGGUUGGCUAAUCCUGGUCGGACAUCAGGAGGUUAGUGCAAUGGCAUAAGCCAGCUUGACUGCGAGCGUGACGGCGCGAGCAGGUGCGAAAGCAGGUCAUAGUGAUCCGGUGGUUCUGAAUGGAAGGGCCAUCGCUCAACGGAUAAAAGGUACUCCGGGGAUAACAGGCUGAUACCGCCCAAGAGUUCAUAUCGACGGCGGUGUUUGGCACCUCGAUGUCGGCUCAUCACAUCCUGGGGCUGAAGUAGGUCCCAAGGGUAUGGCUGUUCGCCAUUUAAAGUGGUACGCGAGCUGGGUUUAGAACGUCGUGAGACAGUUCGGUCCCUAUCUGCCGUGGGCGCUGGAGAACUGAGGGGGGCUGCUCCUAGUACGAGAGGACCGGAGUGGACGCAUCACUGGUGUUCGGGUUGUCAUGCCAAUGGCACUGCCCGGUAGCUAAAUGCGGAAGAGAUAAGUGCUGAAAGCAUCUAAGCACGAAACUUGCCCCGAGAUGAGUUCUCCCUGAGACUUAGAGUCUCCUGAAGGAACGUUGAAGACGACGACGUUGAUAGGCCGGGUGUGUAAGCGCAGCGAUGCGUUGAGCUAACCGGUACUAAUGAACCGUGAGGCUUAACCUUACA